rnacentral:rRNA from 1 species
AACGAACGCUGGCGGCAUGCCUAACACAUGCAAGUCGAACGAUAACUCCGGGGUUAGUGGCGCACGGGUGCGUAACGAGGGGGAACCUGCCCGUAGGUUAGGAAUAACUCAGAGAAAUAUGAGCUAAGACCGGAGAAGGUAUUCGGAGAAACGAUCUAUCGCCUUUGGGUGGGCCCGCGUUGGUUUAGCUAGUUGGUGGGGUAAAGGCCUACCAAGGCGACGAUCCAUAGCUGGUCUGAGAGCAUGAUCAGGCACACUGGGGCUGAGACACGGCCCAGACGCCUACGGGAGGCAGCAGUGGGGAAUAUUGGACAAGGGGCGAAAGCCUGAUCCAGCAAUGCCGCGUGAGUGGUGAUGGGCGUAGGGUUGUAAAGCUCUUUUACCCGAGAUGAUAAUGACAGUACCGGGUGAAUAAGCCCCGGCUAACUCCGUG